GGGGAUGCAAGGCAUAGACAGUAGGACUUUUGUCAAAAAUGCAUACCGAGCAUGAACAUAAUCUCGUAAAAAUUUGUUCAAUAGCUUAAUUGCAAAAUUAGCUUCCAAAGUGAAAGCGGCAGUCUCUCCAUACUUCGGUAUGAAUGACUUCGUUUUCGCUCGAGUUUCCGCUUACGCGUAACUCGUGUCUCUCUUAUAGACUUCCGAUAUAUAAGACGGGGCAUAACAUUAUCGGGAUAAGGAAAUAUCCGUUCGAGUAUUUCACGAAAAAUUAGAACUCGAUUAAAAAAUAUUUGGCUCGCUUAAGAAUUUUUUAAUUUUAACCAAAAAGCGCGCUAUGUAUGUAGACUUUUUUGCAAAAACCUUCUGCACACGAGUUCAAUUCUCGUCAUCUCCACAA
rnacentral:tmRNA from 2 species